AAUCUAAUAUUCUUUCGCUAAAAAUUUUUUAAAUACAUGUAUGAAAUCCCUGCGCAACUUUUCACCCCCAAAUUGAUCAAUUCUAAUUUUCCCAAUUUGAUUUGAAUAUCAUUCUCAAUCCCUAAUUUGAUUUCCAAUUGAUUCUUAAUUGAAUUGCUACAAGGCUCUGUCAUUCCAUUUUCAAUUUUUUCGAGCCAUAAUUUUUUUGCAAACCUCUCUUCCACC
rnacentral:lncRNA from 1 species